UUAUGGUCAUACCACGUUGAAACACCGACUCUCGUAUGAUCACCGACAUUAAGCAACGUCAAGCCUGAUCGGUAUCUAGAUGGCUGACUGCUUGGGAAGACCAGGUGCUGUAAG